GUUCGCCAGGAAAGUUUUAGGUUGUCCAUGUCAUGUCUCUAAAUUUAUAGUUCGAUUCUUGCUUCCUUUACUCGUCAUUUUACAGCAUUCCAUAUUUUUCAAUACUUGUGUCGUUUUAUUAUGUUCUUACAUCAAUUUAGAGUUGAAUCAUAUCUUCUGGUUGGAGCCGAUUAGGUAAUUUAUAUGGUAUUCAAUACUCUUAAGCCUUUUAAUAAAUUUAAAGUUCCAUACCAUUUCAACUGUAUUGGCCAGGUUAUCUGUGACACCGACUUGUACGUUAAGUUGCCUACAGUAAUUUCACGCUGGUAUAACUUGUUUUUUUCGGUGAAAAUAUUACCGAUUUAUUGGUCUGGCAGCAUAUUACCAGGCAGACCAGAGCAUUUGCAACUGUUGUGUUUGCUCACAACAUGGGCAUAUCACUUCUUAGAAUGCUUGUGUCAAAAUGAUGGAUAUUGAGGUACUUUCAUCUGGAAUUGAUAGUUUCAUUACUGAAUAUAAUAUUUUAUCAUGCAGAUAUUUGUAUUUUUAGUUUGAUUUGGUUCACAGUUGAUUUGUAGUUGUCAUUGAUGAAAGACAACACAAAUUAAUAAUUUGCCACAUCUCUCACAGCACAUCACUCAAGUGACUGCUGCCUGGCUUAAUAUUGUAUGUAGCAGUGACUGAAGAUUUUAUAGCUUCAGGACUUCAGUUAUAUCCUAAAUCAAGCUCAUUGGUCUGAGGGAUAGUACUUUGUGAAAGGGAGUGCAAUCCGGGUUUUCUGCAGACAACAGCCACCAUAUCAGUAGCUGUGAUAGCUCAGUAUAGUGACUAGGCUGUGGACUUUGUGACCACAGUUCAAUUUCUUUGACACAAUGACCAGACUGGCUUUUGAGUUUACUGAUCCUCCUGUCAAAUGGGCUCCAGGGGUUUCUUUCCUCAGGAGUAAAGCAGCUGAAGUGUGAAGCUAACAAUUAACCUCCAUCUAAUGCUGAAGUUUAUAAUGCUUGCAUGGUGUAGUACUUAUUUAAGCACUUACUACCUUGGAUGCAGCAGAGGCAAAGAUCAUGUCUUUGUGUAAAAAUUAAAUACAUAUUUCCAUAGGAAUUUAUAUGUUCUGAGUUGUGCCA